GAUUAAGAAGUGGAGUCACAUCAUUGUUUCAUGAUGAUAAUGUCUAGAUCUUUUUAU
rnacentral:tRNA from 1 species